AACGCUGGCGGCGUGCCUAACACAUGCAAGUCGAACGGAGAUUAGCGCUGAUGAAGCUUCGGCAGAAUCUGUUAAAUCUUAGUGGCGGACGGGUGAGUAACGCGUGGGCAACCUGCCUCAUACUGGGGGAUAGCAGUUGGAAACGACUGAUAAUACCGCAUAAGCGCACAGAGUCGCAUGACUCAGUGUGAAAAAACUCCGGUGGUAUGAGAUGGGCCCGCGUCAGAUUAGCUAGUUGGUAAGGUAACGGCUUACCAAGGCGACGAUCUGUAGCCGGACUGAGAGGUCGGACGGCCACAUUGGGACUGAGACACGGCCCAAACUCCUACGGGAGGCAGCAGUGGGGGAUAUUGCACAAUGGAGGAAACUCUGAUGCAGCGACGCCGCGUGAAGUGAAGAAGUAUUUCGGUAUGUAAAGCUCUAUCAGCAGGGAGAAAGACUCGUAAGAGAGAUGACGGUACCUGACUAAGAAGCCCCGGCUAACUACGUGCCAGCAGCUGC
rnacentral:rRNA from 1 species